rnacentral:rRNA from 1 species
GUGAACCAUCGAGUCUUUGAACGCAAGUUGCGCCCGAAGCCUCGGCUGAGGGCACGUCUGCCUGGGUGUCACACAUCGCGUUGCCUCCAGAUCCUUCACCCCUCGACCGUUGCGGUGAUGAUCCGGAUGCGGAAGCUGGCCUCCCGUGACCGCGCGUCACG